UACGUAGGGGGCAAGCGUUGUCCGGAAUCAUUGGGCGUAAAGAGCGUGUAGGCGGCCCGAUAAGUCUGCUGUGAAAGUCCAGGGCUCAACCCUGGAAUGCCGGUGGGUACUGUCGGGCUCGAAUCCGGAAGAGGUGAGUGGAAUUCCUGGUGUAGCGGUGAAAUGCGCAGAUAUCAGGAGGAACACCAAUGGCGAAGGCAGCUCACUGGGACGGUAUUGACGCUGAGACGCGAAAGCGUGGGGAGCAAACAGG
rnacentral:rRNA from 1 species